rnacentral:rRNA from 1 species
UACGUAGGGACCAAGCGUUGUUCGGAUUUACUGGGCGUAAAGGGCGCGUAGGCGGCUUAACAAGUCACUUGUGAAAUCUCCGGGCUUAACUCGGAACGGCCAAGUGAAACUGUCAAGCUAGAGUGCAGAAGGGGCAAUCGGAAUUCUUGGUGUAGCAGUGAAAUGCGUAGAUAUCAAGAGGAACACCUGAGGUGAAGGCGGGUUGCUGGGCUGACACUGACGCUGAGGCGCGAAAGCCAGGGGAGCAAACGGG